rnacentral:misc_RNA from 1 species
UUAACAUCUUUUCAAAUUACUCCUUUAUUUUAACUUUUAAUCCACUUGAAUUUCAUGGUGAAAAUGUUAUCUACCUAAUGAUCCCUCUCAAGAGAAUAAAGUCAACAUUCCUUAGUGCUCAGGCUUUCCUGUUUUGCAAGGGUUAGGAGAGAGCUGUCUAUCAUACACAACCUUCCACCUGCUUUUUAGGCAUAAAGGCUGUUUCCAUGCCACCAAGAG